GAUGAACGCUGGCGGCGUGCCUAAUACAUGCAAGUCGAGCGAAUGGAUUAAGAGCUUGCUCUUAUGAAGUUAGCGGCGGACGGGCGAGUAACACGUGGGUAACCUGCCCAUAAGACUGGGAUAACUCCGGGAAACCGGGGCUAAUACCGGAUAACAUUUUGAACCGCAUGGUUCGAAAUUGAAAGGCGGCUUCGGCUGUCACUUAUGGAUGGACCCGCGUCGCAUUAGCUAGUUGGUGAGGUAACGGCUCACCAAGGCAACGAUGCGUAGCCGAACUGAGAGGGUGAUCGGCCACACUGGGACUGAGACACGGCCCAGACUCCUACGGGAGGCAGCAGUAGGGAAUCUUUCGCAAUGGACGAAAGUCUGACGGAGCAACGCCGCGUGAGUGAUGAAGGCUUUCGGGUCGUAAAACUCUGUUGUUAGGGAAGAACAAGUGCUAGUUGAAUAAGCUGGCACCUUGACGGUACCUAACCAGAAAGCCACGGCUAACUACGUGCCAGCAGCCGCUGUAA
rnacentral:rRNA from 1 species